AAUAGAUACCCGGGUAGUCCACGCCGUAAACGAUGAGUGCUAAGUGUUAGAGGGUUUCCGCCCUUUAGUGCUGCAGCUAACGCAUUAAGCACUCCGCCUGGGGAGUACGGCCGCAAGGCUGAAACUCAAAGGAAUUGACGGGGGCCCGCACAAGCGGUGGAGCAUGUGGUUUAAUUCGAAGCAACGCGAAGAACCUUACCAGGUCUUGACAUCCUCUGUUAACCCUAGAGAUAGGGCGUUCCCCUUCGGGGGACAGAGUGACAGGUGGUGCAUGGUUGUCGUCAGCUCGUGUCGUGAGAUGUUGGGUUAAGUCCCGCAACGAGCGCAACCCUUGAUCUUAGUUGCCAGCAUUCAGUUGGGCACUCUAAGGUGACUGCCGGUGAUAAACCGGAGGAAGGUGGGGAUGACGUCAAAUCAUCAUGCCCCUUAUGACCUGGGCUACACACGUGCUACAAUGGAUGGUACAAAGAGCUGCGAACCCGCGAGGGUAAGCGAAUCUCAUAAAGCCAUUCUCAGUUCGGA
rnacentral:rRNA from 1 species